CCACAAAAUGAGGGGGAAAAAGAACAGGGUGUUCAGUUGGAGGUAUAAGCCAGCAGUGGAAACCUUGACUAGCACAUACAAGGCUCCAGUUCAAUCUAGCACAUGCGUGUGUGCACGCACACACACACAUUAUUGUGUUCUAAUUCUGAAGAUGGGAAUGAGAAUAUCGAGUAGAGAGGUUAUCUGGGACAAAUUAGCGCGGUACUUGGCACACAAUGUCUUAAUUUUGUUCUUGUCAUUGUCUUCGGACCCCAGACCCCAGCCAUUCUUUCCUCCCUCCAUACACAGCCUGCUCAUUCUUCCCUCCAUCUCCUUCCCAGGGACCCAGACUGAUAAAAAUCUGUGUCCCUAAUGCCUGUGAUCUUUGAAAAACUAGAAAGAGCAGCUGGCGUUUUUUGCAGCAUGCUCUCCCCCUGCCCUCCCAUAGUUGACCUAGAUGCGACCACUCACUGCAGAAAGAACAUUCCUAUCCUGUGACAGAAGAAGUGUUGAUGGCCCACAUGAUACUGAGGGUCUCCACAGUGACGCUACGUACAGAGCAGCCCAGGAAGAAUGCUGAAGGGAAGGCCAAGAGCUCUGAAAGCUCUCUGGAAGGCAGCCAAAAGCGCACUGCUUAACCCCUGCAAAACUUAGGUCCUUACCUGUCCAACCUGUACGGUGGCUAC
rnacentral:lncRNA from 1 species